UACGUAGGGUGCGAGCGUUGUCCGGAAUUAUUGGGCGUAAAGGGCUCGUAGGCGGUCUGUCGCGUCGGGAGUGAAAACUCAGGGCUUAACCCUGAGCCUGCUUCCGAUACGGGCAGACUAGAGGUAUGCAGGGGAGAACGGAAUUCCUGGUGUAGCGGUGAAAUGCGUAGAUAUCUGGAGGAACACCGGUGGCGAAGGCGGCAUCCUGGACCAACACUGACGCUGAGUGAGCGAAAGCCAGGGGAGCAAACGGG
rnacentral:rRNA from 1 species